rnacentral:rRNA from 1 species
GGCGAACGCUGGCGGCGUGCCUAAUACAUGCAAGUCGAACGAACUCUGGUAUUGAUUGAUGCUUGCAUCAUGAUUUACAUUUGAGUGAGUGGCGAACUGGUGAGUAACACGUGGGAAACCUGCCCAGAAGCGGGGGAUAACACCUGGAAACAGAUGCUAAUACCGCAUAACAACUUGGACCGCAUGGUCCGAGUUUGAAAGAUGGCUUCGGCUAU